GCCGAGGUGGUGGAACUGGUAGACACGCUGUCUUGAGGGGGCAGUGGGUGAAAACCUGUAGGAGUUCAAAUCUCCUCCUCGGCACCA
rnacentral:tRNA from 1 species